rnacentral:snRNA from 1 species
GUGCUCACUUCAGCAGCACUAAACUUGAAAUGAUAUAGAUUAGCAUGGCCCUAGAGCAAGGAUGACACGCAAAUUCUUGAUGUGUCCCAUAUUUUA